rnacentral:tRNA from 1 species
AAAUAAGAAGCGAAAAAUUGCAUUCAGUUUCGACCUGAAAUUUUGGUAUAAUACACCCUUAUUUA